UACGUAGGUGGCGAGCGUUAUCCGGAUUUACUGGGUGUAAAGGGCGUGUAGGCGGUUUUUCAAGUCGGAUGUGAAAUUCCCAGGCUUAACCUGGGCGCUGCAACCGAAACUGAGAAACUUGAGUACUGGAGAGGAUAGUGGAAUUCCUAGUGUAGCGGUAAAAUGCGUAGAUAUUAGGAGGAACACCGGUGGCGAAGGCGACUAUCUGGACAGUAACUGACGCUGAGGCGCGAAAGCGUGGGGAGCAAACAGG
rnacentral:rRNA from 1 species